UAUCCACUCCUUCACCUCGGCCGUGCCGUUCUCGACGGUAGUGUGUUUCGUGGGAACACGUGAGUUUGCCAUGUGUUUGAAACGCUCCCCGUACAGCAGGUUAAGGAAGCAGCCUGGAGCUGCGGAGGGACACAUGUCCUGUCACACGUAGAGGCCGGCAGAUAGCACACCGUCAAAGUUCCCACUGAAGAGUGGGGGUCAUAAGGUUCUAUCUAACCUUGUCUCACCGUGUCCACCUGUUCAUCCGAACAUGGAUCCACGACUGUCACUUUCCACUUUGCAACACUUUGCAUAUCAACAUCAGUAAAUAAGGUCACCUGUCUGAUUCACUAGCAGGGAUAUAUCCGGUUUUCUGGGGGAAAAUUCCCUGAAUUAUCGAAUGACGUUACAUAAUCACUGCUCUCAUCUGCGGGAGAAAUAUGACGAAGAGUCAGUAGGACAGACAGAAUGACACAGGCUUUUCCAUGCACAAAUGCUGUAUUUUUUCCCCUCAUUUAAGUUGCCAAAGGUACUACUGUGGUUUGGAUUCUGUAAUGUUGCUUUGUGGGUUGAAGUGUGGGAUAUUUCACACUUCUGCAUCAUUUUUAUUUUUUUUUUAAUUAGAAAUUUUGAACCUAAAGACGGUAAGCACACAUCCAGGGCUGGCUCUAGCCCAUUUGGUGCCCUAGUCGAGAUUAGACCCAACCUCUUCAGCCAAAGAUUGUGCCUCGAUUUUUAUGUCUGGAUCUGUGGCGUUGUCCCUCACCUUCCUUUGUGCAUCCCUGACUCAAAAAAUAGUAUGACAAGCUUCUGCAGUCAGCCAAAGCAUAGCAGUGCAUAACAACAUAGCGGUGCAUAAGAGACCACAAACAAUUGGCUAAACUUACACUUAAGAGAGUGGCGUGGAUGUUGCAUCAGAAGGCUGCUCUCCAUCAGCUGUUAGGGGCAUCUGGAAUUUUUUUUUAGCAAAAUAAAUAAAUGAAUAAAAGUACAGACAGAAUAGGACAAACAACUGUUGCAGCUUGCAGCAGUUAAUUGCAUAAGUGGUGUGUUCAACAUAACAUUUUAAUUGCCUUAUGAUAAAAGAUUUGCUACCAUUUCACAAUAAACAAAACAGAGUACAAUCUGCACCGGUGGCGCAUCCACAUGGGUUGGCCUCUACUGUGAUUCAUGAUUCAUUAAUCCUUCUUAGUAGCUAUCAGUGUCAUUGUCCAGUGUUGUUUUAUUUCAACCUAGCUAGCAAUCUAAUACAAAUGAAAUGUCUUCACACAAAUUGGCAUUUAAACAAAGAUAACAUAAUGUUACCUUUAUAUUGGGAUGACUUCUCCUCCUCUUUUCUUUUCUUUUGGUACUGCGCGCCCAAGGGCUUUGACGGCUGUUUCUUCUUGCAAAAUAUCAAAACAUAACCUGUCUGUCACUUGACAUGACCAGACCUCUAGGAAACCUAUCUAACCGUCUGAGGUGCGCAGCCAAUGACCACACUUCACGUGACUCAGCACCACAAGGUAACUGGCGGUGACCCUCCAGCAGAUGACACUCUAAGCCAUUGCCUAUGCCUAGAGCCGGCCCUGUGUGCAUCCACCAACGUGCAAUGUUUACUGUGCAAUGCUAGCCAAACAACAGACUUGUCACCAACAGGUGAGGAGCCCUCAUCUGCCUUAAGCACCACGGCUCUGAUCUGCAAGGUGACUCAAAACUUCAGCAACAUAAUGGAAGAGAAAUUCUCCAAGUAUACGGAGACGCCCUAUACACUUUUUCUGCAACCUGGCUGCCCACUGUGCUUGGCUUUGAAACAAGCCCUGGUGCUAAAAGCCGUGUUAAAAUUGAACAGGCACUGGGGGCCGCGAAGCAGGCGUCCCCGCCCGGUGAUUAUCAAACUUCAAAACUCCAGGGACAAGCUGAGGAUAAUUGCAGCAGUUAAGGCGACACCUAAUCUGGAAUAUGAAGGUCAGCGGAUCUUCAUACAUCAGGAUUUAACUUCUCCAGUUCAUGACAAGAGGAAGGCUUUCAAUGUGGUGUGCCAGCCUCUAAUAAACAAAGGUAUCCGCUUUAACAUGCAUUUCCCAGCCAAUCUGAUCGUGAACCACAAUGGCACCGAGCACAAGUUUGAAACAUGAAAAGAUGCAGAAGACUUUCUCCACCCACUGGGAUACAGUCAGACAGGAGUUGCCUUCAAUUUAUAACUUUAAUCUUGUCUCAUCUGAGGGUCUACAUGGACGCCCACUAAGGUCUGCGUGAGUUUGUUUGCCUCAUAUCAGCUAUUCUGUCUUGAGAGAUUCUGUCCUUUUAUUUAAAUUGGUCUUUUCUCUCUUUGUCAAGAUCUGUAGUGUGAUAUAGUCACCCCUUUUUAUGCUCACUCUAAUAUGCUAACAAUAAUUGAGGGGCAUAUUCUGUGGUUGAUAAUAGCAGUAGAGGCUUUAUGCUGACAGGUAGCCAGAAUGAUAAAUGGCAAGUAAUACCAUCAUGUUGUGGGAGCCGGUGGGAUAUGGAGGGUUUUUUUGUUGUUGUUGUUGUUUUUCUUGCUCUAUUACCAAGUGGGUAGCUUUCUGUUUCUUGUUUGUUAUGUUUUUGAUGGUUCAUAUCUUGUUCUUUUUAUAAUGUAAUCAUUCAUGCUUACCUUGCUUUCUGAAUAUGAAGAAAGUUCUAGUUGUUUUCCCAUCAGUAGAAAAUGGCAAUGUUCAUACCAGCACAGUUCACAUUGUUCAUGAGCCAAAUAAUACGGGAUUGCACUUUAUUAGUUAUAAUGGGUCAUUUAUCUCUUUAUAUGUAUCAUUCUUUAGUAGUUAUCUGAUCAAACUGCCAUUUAAUGAGUAACACAAUAGUCAUAGCACUGAUUGUCAAAGGCAUCAUCCAUGCCAUGCUCAAAAAAGAUACAGUACAAGUGGCACUCUUAGAGGAGACUCACUUUACAGACUCUGAACACUUAAAAUUAAAGCGUGAUUGGGUUGGCCAAAUGUAUUCUUCUUCUUUCAACUCAGAAAGUAGAGGGGUAGCAAUACAUAUCCACAAACAUCUUGCUUUUACACUUGAUUGAGUACUUUAUUUAUCCUUGACAGGAAAUGAAUUCAUUGCUACAGCCAUUAUUAGACACACAUGCAUACAUACAUAAAGUUAAGAACCAGAACAUUCCACCUGUCAAGGCUCAUUAAAAAGUGUCAUUGCAGCAGGGGAGAAAAGACCUCCUGCUGUGCUCUGACUUGCACCUUGGCAUGAUCAGUCUUUCACUGAAGGUGCUCCUUUUGAUCACCCCCAGUGCAUUGAGUGGAUGGGAGGGGUUCCUCAUGAUUGCCCUUAUCUUAGACAGCAUCCUGUCUUCUGCCACCUGCUGGACAGAGUGUUACUGGAUAGAGUAACAGUGUUACUGGAUAGAGUGUUACUGUUUAGCUCAGUUGUUACUGAGUUAAACAGUAACACUCUAUCCCUAUUUUACCAUAACUCAUCAGCCAAUUUGGCCUCAUUUCAGGAUAUAAAAUUAACUAUAAUAAUAAAUCAGAGACCUUGCCAUUGGGUGACUCUGGGGAUUGGGUUGCUCCUGCCAGUUCCCUUUUUAGGUGGUCAACUGCAGGUUUUACUUAUCUGGG